UUGCAGGUCUAAAUUCCCUUAAGUCAUCAGACACCAUUUGAUCUUAGAAGCUAAAUAGAAUGAAGCCUGGUUAGUACUUGGAUGCAGGAUCACCAAAGAAUACCAGGUGUUCUAGGUU
rnacentral:rRNA from 11 species